rnacentral:tRNA from 2 species
GCAUCCGUAGCUCAACUGGACAGAGCGUCGGCCUCCGGAGCCGAAGGUUUUGGGUUCAAGUCCCAACGGAUGCA